rnacentral:rRNA from 1 species
AUGGAAGGCAGCAACAUGGAGGCAUAUUCCACACCUAAGCCACCUUUGCAAGGGACAAAAUUUGACACCAUGGAGAGCGCACGUGACCACUACAGCACCUACGCGCGCAGAACUGGCUUUGCAAUUAGGCAGCAAUUCAAGAAAGAGAGGGUUGAUGGAACUAUAAGCAGGGUGCUACUAGUUUGUACAAAAUAUGGCAAACGACGCAAGGACAGGGAUGAGCUGCAAGAUGUGGAAAACCCAGACAGCAUUGUCAAGAAGAGGAAAAAAAAGAAAGUUGUUAGGACUGAAUGUGAAGCGCACAUGUACCUAUCCCACGAUGAUGCAUGGUGGACUGUUGACCGUUUCGAGGACACCCACAAUCACCCCCUGAUCAAAAAGCCUUCCCUAACAAAAUUCUUAUCAUCACAUCGGUACAUUCCGAAGGAGGAGCAGGACUUCUUGAGGGUUCUGCAUGGAUGCAACAUUGAGACUGCGAGGCAGAUGCAGCUGAUGUCAUGGUUCUACGGAAGCGCUAAAGACGUACCCUACACGACACAAGACAUUGCUAAUCAAUGA